GAUGAGCAAACCGUGCCCAUCUCCGUGGGUUUUCUAACCCCCAGCGCAGCCUUUGUUACCUCCAUGAAGUUCUGGGUUCAAAGAACUAUGUGUGUCGAGGGUGAGCAGAAGGAGAACAAGGUUCUGGUCGACCCAGUAAGUAGGGCCAAGAAAGUAGGCAGCAGUCCUUGUGGAAAGCUGCCGCAGGCUCCCUGUGAGAACAGCGCCCCAGCGUUGCGUUGAGUCUGGAGGGCUGGCAGUUGUCAGGUCUCAGUUUCCCCGCAGUCCUGCAGGUACUGGCCACUGUCUGUUGCAGCCCACUGGUUGAACACAUGUUCUCAGCAAUAAGGCAUCCGUGUCUUCCCCCUGGACCUUUGCUCUGUCUUCUGUCACAAAGAUUUUCCAGUAGCCAUUGCCAAAAGGAAAUCCAGGAAGAGGAGAAAGCAAUUAGGAAGAAGUCCUAACUGCAGUGGUUAGGUGCUGGACCUCAGCUGGAAAAGAAGCCAGAAACCCACAAUUACUGUGUUUUGAAACUUUGUUCAGAGCCUUGUAGCUGAUUCUGAGGACAAUCAGAUGUCUAUGCAUGGUAAAAUUGAUGAUUCGGGGAUAUACGUCAAGUUCAAUUUGUCCAGAACUCACGGUUUUGUGCUGUUGAUGGAUACACUCAGCUCACUCUGUGAAUCUCAGGACUGGCUUGGCAAUGGUCUUACUCUUCAAUGCUGCUGGCACCUGACAACAGUUUUCCAGGCAUCUUCAUCUGAGAGCCCUGAUCCUGUGAGAAAUGAAUUCCUUGCUCACUGUGUGAGUUAGGGGACCACUAAGACUGCGGGACCACUCACAUCAGCCUCUGCUCUGGGUUACUCUGGAAAAGACGCAGUGGUGGAAACUCUGUCCUGUUUCUCCCAUAUGCUCUGAAGGACCCCCUGAAAGCCCAACCAGUGCAAACUAUAGUCUGUGUUUCCCCAUGCCAGGCCCACCAUCCAGAAACUUUGUCCUUGUAUAUUUGAGAUCUCUUUCAGGGCCUGGAGAGAUGGCUCGGUUGGUAAAGGAUGCUUGCUACACACACAGGAGGGUUCUGAGCUUAAAUUUCCAGAAACCUCGUAAAUGUUGAGGAGGAAUGUAGUGGUGCUCCCAUAUUCCCAGCACCCAAGAGGGAUAGAUAGGGACUCCCAAAGGCAAGCUGACUGUCUCUGCUAGCUGAAUCAGUGAGCUUUGGGGUAAAUACUGCAGAGAGUGGUUGAGGAAGACACUCAUGAUCAACCUGUGGGCUCCACAUGUACACACACA